GGCAUUUCAAAGGCUUUAUUGAGGAGAAUGUUGAAAAUCUUUUCAUCACUGGAUCCGUGGGCCUCAAGGGCUCUGGAGAGAUGCCCCCAGCAUGGAUGGUGAGGCCCCUCUGCGUGGAGUCCUGUGCUCGCCCCUGAGUGAAAGGCAUUCUGAAUUUCGAAGUCAGUCCUUCACUGAGAGUUCUCUGAGGACAAGCACCGCGUCUGCUUCCACUGCUGUAGCUCACCCACCACUGAGCACCGUGCCGGGCACCUGGAAG